CAGGACCGUGUGCUAUAUCCGUCUCAAGAGGUCCCGCCCGAUGUCUGUUUAUAUUCAUGUGUUUUGUCAGUCACAAGAUUCCCACCAGAUGUCUGUCUAUAUAUUAAUUCAUAACUCUACAUCAAUAUCACCUGAGGAGCAUGUUGGGUCGCAAACCCGAUGUAAACGUUUUGAGGGCAAGGAAACUUGAAAUUUCCUCAACCAAAAUAUUCCGUCCAAACCCAUCGAACCCGAACUGUUUCAAUCCACAUCAGGAUGAGAACUCCCCACAUCAACACGAAGUUUGUUGUUGGAAGGUGUAUUAGUUAAACAGAUUCCUGGGAAAUAUAUACAGACUCUGAUGAUAAUCGUACUUGAAAGGCUGAAAGAUAUCUUGUUUUCACUUUGGGACAUGGACCCAAACAUACAUGACCUGAGGUGGAUGGAUUUGUGGAAAAGACAGCUGAUGAUAAUAUGUUGGUUCUGCAGAGCGGCGCAUUCGCCGUAACUUCUACAGUAUAGGUGCAGCGGCUUUAGCACAUAGAGGUCGGAGUGGCUCGCUGGAUACAGGCUGCGGCUCCAGCAGCAAAGUUCAUAUGUCAUCAUCAGAUGAUACAGGGAUUUGAACGCCCUUUUGGUUUAGCGAAACCAUGGACUGAGGAACGACCACGUUCAAUCAUUGUGUCUUCGAGGAGAUAUCACAUGAUGACCUUAUGGAAUAGACAUUAUUCGUGCCGGCCAGGAAUAACCAUCAACGUUCUUGGGUCAUAUAUAUGUUCAGUGUAAAUACCAUCCGAGUGAGUGAAAAUAGUAGUAAAGUAGUAAAUAAAUUGUAUAUAUUAUCAA